GAGGGUAUAGCUCAGUGAUAGAGCGCAUGCUCAGCAAGCAUGAGGUGUCCUGGGUUCAAUCCCCAGUACCUCCA
rnacentral:tRNA from 1 species